rnacentral:lncRNA from 1 species
UUUCUUUUUAGUUAGUUAAUUGAGAGAUAGUGGAUAAUAAAUAUUUUCAAUGUGUGUUGUAUAAAGAUUUUCAUUUUUUGAUGAGUAUGGAAUAUUCUUUUAUGGGGUGUUUUUGAAAAAUAUUCAACAGCAGAUAUCCUUCGGUUGACAGAAAUUUGGAUAAGUAUGAAUUUUUCUAAAAUUUUUAUAAAUGAAAUGCAAUAUUUUUUCCUACUAAAAAAAUCUGGUCAACAACUAUUUUAAUAAUUAUCUCAAAUCAAUAUCAAUUUGUGAAUCAUAUUUAUCUACAAAUUUUAAAUUUUAAAUUGUAAAAUUAUAUGUUAUAUUUUAUUGAGAUAAUUUUUAUAUACUCAUCUUUUAAAAAAAUAUAAUUAAAUAUUAUAUAAGCGGAAGAUAUUACGUUAUUGGAUAUUAUGUAGGAGGCGGAUAUUAAGUGCGAGAAAGAAAAUAUUUAAGAAAUGCAAAUUUAUGAUAAAAUAUGAUAUUACGUGGGCAGCCGUUAUUAGGAGAUAGGGUAGCAUAUAAAAAGUGAAAUUUGAUACGUACUAUUUGAGAAAAAUUUAGGUAAAAAAAGUGAUAGAUACUUAAUUCGUUAGUCAAUCCAAUGACUAAGAAUUAAUAUAUUUUACAAUAAUUUAAAAAUAAAAUAAAAAUUAUACGACUGUGAUUUAUUUCAUUAAAGUUGAAUGUAUGAUAUUGCUAGUAUGUAAUCGGAAUUAUAUUAAUAGGGACCGAUAUUUUGGGAAAGAGGAAAAAAUUUAAAACUUACGCUUUUAUAAGUAGUAUAGAACUGCAGCAGUGGGCCGGAGUCGGUCCACCCAUUAAAAAAAUAAACAAAAUGAUUUUUUUCUACGUUUAUUCUUCUUAUUUUUUUUCAAAAAUAUCUAUUCAUGAAAUUGAUGGGGUUUAAUAAUAUCUGUUAGGGUCAAUAAAAUUUUUUCAUAUGCUUUUUUUUUUUCAGUCUGCUAGUUUAAUAAUAAUAUCUUAAUUUUUGUUUUAAUCAAAUCUAUAAUAUAUUUGCAUUUAAAAUUUAUUAAAUUCAUACAUAAUUUUAUAAUAAAUAAAUUUUAUAUAAAUAUAAAAGUCUUAAUUAAUAAUUAAAAUAUGAUUAUAUUAUGCUCAGAAGAGGUAAUCCAUCUUCUUAUUUAAAAAUUGACAGAAUUUAUAAAUACAAAUCUCAACUACAGAAUACCAAAAAGAAAAAAAAUGUAACUUUAGCAAUUACAAUUGUAUAAAAUCAAAUAAAUUAAGUAUAAUUAUAACUGCAGUAUUUAUAACUAUAUUUAUUUUUAAUUAAAAUAUUUUUGUAAUUAUAUCCAACCAAAAAACCAAACAGCCCAUAUCAGUAUAUAU